rnacentral:rRNA from 1 species
GGAAUAUUGGUCAAUGGGCGCAAGCCUGAACCAGCCGUGCCGCGUGCAGGAUGACGGUCCUAUGGAUUGUAAACUGCUUUUGUACGAGAAGAAACAACAUUACGUGUAAUGUCUUGACGGUAUCGUAAGAAUAAGGAUCGGCUAACUCCGUGCCAGCAGCCGCGGUGAUACGGAGGAUCCAAGCGUUAUCCGGAAUCAUUGGGUUUAAAGGGUCCGUAGGCGGUUUAGUAAGUCAGUGGUGAAAGCCCAUCGCUCAACGGUGGAACGGCCAUUGAUACUGCUAAACUUGAAUUAUUAGGAAGUAACUAGAAUAUGUAGUGUAGCGGUGAAAUGCUUAGAGAUUACAUGGAAUACCAAUUGCGAAGGCAGGUUACUACUAAUGGAUUGACGCUGAUGGACGAAAGCGUGGGUAGCGAACAGGAUUAGAUACCCCGG